rnacentral:lncRNA from 1 species
CAUACAGUGCAGUGAGUGUCCUUCAGGUUUCUCAAUGAUGUAUACUUCUUGAUUACAUCUAUAGGUGCAAGACCUAGCCUUCUAGCCAGAUUACACAAGAAUCAGAGUAUUCAUUAGCCAUACAAGAAAACUUGUUCCCGGACAUAGUAGUUUUAUGAACAGAUUUCACCUCGAUACUUGUUGAGGAGCUUUAUUCCUUAGUUGAGCUGGAUCAUGAUUCAGUAUACCACUUAUAACUUGCCUUGCAGUAGGUACAAUCCCUGAUCCUCCUUACCAAUUCCCUUCACCUAACCACUGUAAAGAUCUUGGAAGAUACAAAAACAACAACAACAACCCAGUACAAUCCCACUUAGUGGGGUCUGGGGAGGGUAGUGUGUACGCACUGGGGAAGGUAGUGUGUACGCAGACCUUACCCCUACCCUUGGGUAGAGAGGCUGUUUCCAAAUAGACCCCCAACAUCCUUCCUCCAAGAACUUCCCACCUUGCUCUUGGGGAGACUCGAACUCACAACCUCUCGGUUGGAAGAUACAAAAGUUAGGAAAAAAUGCUACAAGACACUGCAACGCCUUGGUCAAUUUAGACACAGACAAUAGAUUGUAUUUACACUCUGGUAUGUACAGCACACUACUGAAAUCCCGAUAGUUAAACACACUUGCUUUUCUUACAUGUAAAAUAGAGGCAGGCAAGUGAACCUUACUUCCUUUUGAGGUGAAACUACUGACAGGAACUUACCAUCUCUAAUGUGGAUGUUAUAUGGUUUGAAGCUCAAGAAUCUAUUAUCCAAUUGUGGUUAACAUGAUUGGAUAAUAGAGCUAUCAGUUUAUCUGCAGUUGCAGCUCUGGCCGAAGGACCUUCAUCUUCUCCCUUGUUCAGUAGAUUGAACUAUCUACUGAUAUUGCUCCUGAGUAAAGAAAGGAGUUGGUGCUUGUUGCUGAGUCUGAAGUCCAUAUGGUGAAAUCAUCAUCUGCAUUUGCUGAGGCACAUGCUAAAAUCCUGGUGAUGAGGACACUUGCAUAUGCUGUUGUCCACCUGUUAUUCCUUCUCCUCGGCCCUAUAAACCUCCAAAUUACAUAUGCAUCUGAGUGUUUUGCCUAGGAGGAUUGCAGUUAGGAGCAGUGUUGACAUGAUUGGCAUAUGCUCCAG